AUUGAACGCUGGCGGCGUGCCUUACACAUGCAAGUCGAACGGUAACGGGCCUUCGGGUGCCGACGAGUGGCGAACGGGUGAGUAAUACAUCGGAACGUGCCCGAUCGUGGGGGAUAACGAGGCGAAAGCUUUGCUAAUACCGCAUACGAUCUACGGAUGAAAGCAGGGGACCGCAAGGCCUUGCGCGGACGGAGCGGCCGAUGGCAGGUUAGGUAGUUGGUGGGAUAAAAGCUUACCAAGCCGACGAUCUGUAGUUGGUCUGAGAGGAUGAUCAGCCACACUGGGACUGAGGCACGGCCCAGACUCCUGCGGGAGGCAGCAGUGGGGAAUUUUGGACAAUGGGCGCAAGCCUGAUCCAGCCAUGCCGCGUGCAGGAUGAAGGCCUUCGGGUUGUAAACUGCUUUUGUACGGAACGAAAAGCCUUCUUCUAAUACAGGAGGGUCAUGACGGUACCGUAAGAAUAAGCACCGGCUAACUACGUGCCAGCAGCCGCCGUAA
rnacentral:rRNA from 1 species